rnacentral:rRNA from 1 species
UACGAAGGGGGCUAGCGUUGCUCGGAAUCACUGGGCGUAAAGCGCACGUAGGCGGCUUUUUAAGUCAGGGGUGAAAUCCUGGAGCUCAACUCCAGAACUGCCUUUGAUACUGAGAGGCUUGAGUCCGGGAGAGGUGAGUGGAACUGCGAGUGUAGAGGUGAAAUUCGUAGAUAUUCGCAAGAACACCAGUGGCGAAGGCGGCUCACUGGCCCGGUACUGACGCUGAGGAGCGAAAGCGUGGGGAGCGAACAGG